GGCCCAAAAUUGAUACAAUCUUAGCUCUUUACUUAGUUUGAAUUCAUGACCAUUAACUACAUAGUCACAAUUGUAUAAACGCCCACUUUACAAAAAUAGCCAUUUUUGCAAAUCCGGCAAAAUGGCCAGAUUCACAAAGAUAUUAUCACAGCAUUCCUAGAAGCAUAUGUUGGCAGUGAAAUUUCAACAACUAAAACGAACUCAUGUUAUGUGUUAUACACCUAAAGUCAUUCAUGACAUACUUAGCAUUGUUACUCGGAUAUAAUAGCUUGAAAACAUGCUUAAAAAAUCCAUAAACGACUUACAUAUCACAUUCAAAAACUUACAACUCAAUAUUCAAGUAUUAUGAAGGACUAUAUUCACAUUAUCACAUGUUUUAUACAUAACAAUAACAUACAAGUUCUUUUGUUGUCAAACUAUUCAUAACAUCAAACACAUUUAAAUGGUGCAGCAUGUUCAAGUUGUUCCCAUUGCUGAAAAUACGUACAUUACGAGUCUUAAAGGAUUACCCGGUAGCAAAAGAAUAAACAGUAGUUCAGAUCUUAAAGAGGGAACCCAGAAGAGAACUCUAAAGAGGACUUAUACUUUUUUAAAAGUUUGCACUCUAAGAUUCACUCUCAAAGCUCACCAUUUCAGCUUACUUUUCAUGUGUUCAACUGCUGAAUUUUUUUUUGUUUUAGUGACAAAGCAAUUAUAAAAAAUGCCCCCCCCCCCCCAAAAGUGUGAUGGAGUCCCCUCUAUAUAUCAAAACAACGAGCUAUUUCAAAAAAAUUAAAAAUCAAUCUUUUUGACAGAUUUUUCUACAAAAUCUGCUCUUAAAUUCAAAAACAAGACUUUCUAGUUCAAAUCUUGUCAAGUAUUUCAAACAAAAUCUGCUCUCCACUAUUCAAAAAUAGACUUUAUUCAAAUAAUGUCCAAAGGUCUACAUUUUCUUACCAAACAAUUUGACUUUUAAGUGUUGUACUCAAAGAGUCUUGAAGCAGUAAACAAACAACCAAACAAGUACCAUAUACUCUUAAGUAUUUUUCAUUACCUCACUUUUAUCAAUACAAAACUAUUUUACUACUUCAACAAGUGCAAAAACUGAAAAUUUAACAUUUCAAACUUCAAAAACUAAUGCUAAAAUAAUUAAUAAUAGACAAAAAUAAAAUCUGAUAAUUAAAAAUAAAAAUAAAAAAAUCAGCCAUGAAAAAGAAUAGUAUUUUACCAUUUUACACAUCAAAAGGCCGAAAAAAUGGUGGUAUGCCAAAGAGGGUGUUCCGGGAGGUCGCUGGAAUUAGGCCGGAUUUUGGUCGCCGGAUUUUUGGGGCAGAAUUGACAUCAAUAGCUAGGUCUUGAGGAGCUCUAUCCAUUGAUGUAGGUAUUUUGGGGUGGUAGUGGUUGGAGCUUCAAGAAUUUGGGCAAAAAAGUGACGGAAAAGUUUUCUUAGAUCUAAGAUUCAAGGAGUUUGAGGGAUUUUUUUACGAUUUGGUUUGGAGAUAUGGAAAAAGGAAGUUGUGGAGAUUACGUGGUGUGAAUUUGGAGGUGUUUGGAGGUGGUCCGCCGGUGGCGGCGAUUUCCGACAGGCGGCGGUGGGCGUAGCUGGGGUGGCGUAGAGAGAGUGAAAAGAGAGAAAAGAGAGAAGAAGGAGAGGGAAAGAAGAGAGAGGAAAUAAGGGGGAAAUGGGGGAAAUUUUUGGGGAUUUUAGGCUUUAAAUACCUAGGAUGAAGUUCAAACUAGGACUGUUGGAUUAAAUCAAGAUGGGUGGAUGAGAUUGAAUCUUGNN
rnacentral:lncRNA from 1 species